AACGAACGCUGGCGGCAUGCCUAACACAUGCAAGUCGAACGAGAUCUUCGGGUCUAGUGGCGCACGGGUGCGUAACGCGUGGGAAUCUGCCCUUUGGUUCGGAAUAACAGUUGGAAACGACUGCUAAUACCGGAUGAUGACGGAAGUCCAAAGAUUUAUCGCCAGAGGAUGAGCCCGCGUAGGAUUAGCUAGUUGGUGUGGUAAAGGCGCACCAAGGCGACGAUCCUUAGCUGGUCUGAGAGGAUGAUCAGCCACACUGGGACUGAGACACGGCCCAGACUCCUACGGGAGGAAGCAGUGGGGAAUAUUGGACAAUGGGCGAAAGCCUGAUCCAGCAAUGCCGCGUGAGUGAUGAAGGCCUUAGGGUUGUAAAGCUCUUUUACCCGGGAUGAUAAUGACAGUACCGGGAGAAUAAGCUCCGGCUAACUCCGUGCCAGCAGCCGCCGUAA
rnacentral:rRNA from 1 species